rnacentral:piRNA from 1 species
UCGAAACUUUGUAAGGUGCCUAUGCCAUA